rnacentral:lncRNA from 1 species
AGAAGUUGUGUGAUGUCAACGCUAUUUUUGGUGCUACCCGCCUAGAUUUCUAUUUUCGUCUUCUUCAGGGGCUGGACUUACCAAGUUGCUUGCGACAACUCUUUCUUCCUUACUCUCUUGUACUACUGACGAAUCUCAUCCUUUGACCCUGGUCCCGUUCCCUGUAAGUCCUUUCACAAUAGCCUAGGCUUCACAGGACGAAUCAUAUCAUUGCCUUUUGUUUUUGUUUUUGGAGGAGUAGCCAGUUUUAGAAUGUGGAGUUAUUUUGUGACUUAUUCUUACAAGAUGCAAUCACGGCGUCGGGACCUACCCUAGACAAAGACCAACGGGACAGCGUUUUUUCAAGAGUGGCAGAGCCCUCGGUGUCGG